UUCACUGUGGAACCCUAGAGGGGACCCGGGGCUGUACAACCAAUUGGUUCUCAGUAUGCAGCCAUCUCACCCUGGGCAUCUUUUUAGUGAGAGGAGAGGCAGUUUGUAUCAAAGCCACAUGGUCAGUAGUCUGAUGCUAAAAUUCUUGUGAAAUAGAGAUCUAAGAAAAGUUUCAGUUACCCAAAGUUCUCUGUUUUUUUCCCAGCUAUAUUCAAUUGUCUCAAGGAAAGUUUGUUACUUCUCUCCAAAAUCUGCCUUCCCAAAGGGCAAAGAGAGUGUCUACCAAAAGCCCACAUUGAAUAAAGGAGCUUUUUAAGGAAAUCAGUAGGAAACUGAGAAGAAAAUAAUUUCAAUUUUACCCCAUCCUGUGGCCCGUUGUGGGGCCUGCUGGGCUUUGCAAUACUUGAAGGUCAGUGUUGGUGCCAUUUCUUUCAAGAGUUAAGCAAAAAAACAUUUCUUUCCAGCAGAAUCCAGAAGAUAGGACACCCCAGUUGUUGUUGCGCCCUGGGGUCUUCUCAAGAGGAGAGAUGCCUUUUUAGAUCCCUGACUCAUCUGCCCAAGAGCUGUCCUGACUACUUUGUGGAAGAAAGGGGUGUGCAAGAUGUGCUCUUGAUCUACACUUGUUGGAGUUGGCCACACUACAUAAAUUAGUUCACCACUGAGCCAGAGUUGUGUUUCUGCAGUCUAGUGGCCCAGAGACUUUAUGAGGGACAGAGGUGCCAGUUUCAGUCAGUGACUACUUCAGGCCCUUAGACAGGGCUGGGAGAAAUAAUGGUACUGGAAAAAAAAAAAUCAGAUUUUAGCCCGAGUCCAUAUUGUGAAUGCUGGGGUUCUUGUAUUUGGACCAGUUGUGUAUCUGCUGAAGUAGAGAUGGGCUCAAAAGGCAAGAAGAGUUGUGAAGGGAGCCCACCACCUCAGCAAUAGAAAUGACAAUAAACAAUGGUUAUUUCUUCCCUGUUACAGGUUUUGCAGGAUGCCCUAAUUACCUUGACAUUAUUAGUGCGGAAGUUGUGCUCUAUCCACCCACUAAGUACAGGAAACAUGCCCAGAGUGUAAUUCUAUCCUUCACCUCACAUGCCUCCGAUGGGCUGGAGUCUGAGAGGAAACUGAAUAGCCUGGAAAGGUUGAAGUCAACGUUGGAAUUUCCUCAUGUCAGACUGGGAACAGAGACACUGCACAGAGCAAAGAGUUUGCAGUCUAAUGUAUGACAUGUAAUAGAUGAAAGAAGAGCUACAGAAGAGAGGCUGGAGUCAUUGUCUUUAUUUCCUAAAUAUGCAAAUUAAAAAGAAAUAUUAAUAGUCAAAAGAGGCCUUGCCAUUGUGGACUAAUUAUUUCCUCUCCAUGCCCUGCUUGGAAUGGGUGUCCAGCAGAGCAGCAGCUCACCGAGACUCUGAUUAUUCUGAGUGGAUAGAUACAAACCCACCUGUGAUUCUGUGUCUGAGCUGCUCAGAGGUAUUUACACACUAAAAGGGUGGUGCAG
rnacentral:lncRNA from 1 species